UACAGAGGUCUCAAGCGUUGUUCGGAUUCAUUGGGCGUAAAGGGUGUGUAGGUGGCGCCGUAAGUCGGGUGUGAAAUUUCGGAGCUUAACUCCGAAACUGCAUUCGAUACUGCGGUGCUUGAGGACUGGAGAGGAGACUGGAAUUCAUGGUGUAGCAGUGAAAUGCGUAGAGAUCAUGAGGAAGACCAGUGGCGAAGGCGCCGCUCUGGGCCGUGACUGACGCUGAGGAGCGAAAGCGUGGGUAGCAAACAGG
rnacentral:rRNA from 1 species